CCUACGGGCGGCUGCAGUGGGGAAUAUUGGACAAUGGGGGCAACCCUGAUCCAGCCAUGCCGCGUGUGUGAAGAAGGCCCUCGGGUUGUAAAGCACUUUCAGUGAGGAAGAACGCCUGGUGGUUAAUACCCAUCAGGAAAGACAUCACUCACAGAAGAAGCACCGGCUAACUCCGUGCCAGCAGCCGCGGUAAUACGGAGGGUGCGAGCGUUAAUCGGAAUUACUGGGCGUAAAGCGCGCGUAGGUGGCUUGAUAAGCCGGUUGUGAAAGCCCCGGGCUCAACCUGGGAACGGCAUCCGGAACUGUCAAGCUAGAGUGCAGGAGAGGAAGGUAGAAUUCCCGGUGUAGCGGUGAAAUGCGUAGAGAUCGGGAGGAAUACCAGUGGCGAAGGCGGCCUUCUGGACUGACACUGACACUGAGGUGCGAAAGCGUGGGUAGCAAACAGGAUUAGCUACCCUAGUAGUC
rnacentral:rRNA from 1 species